rnacentral:rRNA from 1 species
AUGAGGGGAUCUCGAACUGAGCCUGUGGAUGUCAGUUCUGAUGGAAGCGCUGACAGUGGCUCUGACGAAAACUCGGACAGCAGCUCAGAUGGAUCUGGUUAUAGCUCCUCUUAUGAAGGAGCGUCCAUGAGCUCCGAUGGAGUGGUGUACAUUAGCUCUGAUGAAGGCGAGUACAGCAGUCCAGAUGAGGGUGCCUACACCAGCUAUGAUGAAGACAUGAGCAGCAGCUCUGAUGAAGGCGCUCACACCAUCCAUGCUAAAGGUGUGCAUAGGCGCAUGAAGGAGAAGAAGCCUUGGAAGGCAUGCAUGAACAUCUGUGAUUGCCCUAAAGAGUACACAGUUGGUUAUAAUCCAAUUACUAAUGCUAGAUGCAUGUAUUCAAAGAGAUUUAAGAUGUCAAUGUGUGCUUGGAAGCGUCUCAACCAUUAUGUUGAAUCAGUUGAGCCUGCUAUCGGCCACUAUGUUUGUGAGCUGAAUAAGACUUUUGCCAAGCUUGGGCAGAGAAUGUACUUUUCUGUUGUGUUUACGAAGAAGCAUCUAGCGGAUUUCAUCGCUACUCCUGUUGAUGGGGUAAAGAUUCAGCUAUCAUCUGGACGUUGUGUAAGGCGUGUUCGCCUUAUUAAUGGUGUGGACAACAGGGCUACCAUAACACGGAACUGGGGUAACUUUGCAGAGAAAGCAAAGCUGACAAAAGGGGAUAUCUGUGUUUUCUCCCUUCGAGUUCGCAAGGGGAAACCAGAAUUCACCGUUCACAAGAUCUAA